rnacentral:rRNA from 1 species
GUGUAAUUGAUUAUUAAUAAUUUUUUUUUAAAAUAUUAUUUUAAUUUUUUUUAUUUUAGUGAAUAAUUACUGUAUAGGAAUUUUGAAAUAUAUUGAAAAUUUAUAUUUAUAUAAGAUUAUUUUAUUUUUAGUACCUUGUGUCUCAGGGUAUAUUAAUUAAUUUAUAUUUAUAUAUUUUUCCCGAAUUAAAAAGAGCUAAAAAUUAAUUUGUUUUAAUGUUAAAAAAUUAUUCUUAAUUGGUUUUUGGUAAUGAAAUGUUAUUCGUUUUUUAUUAUAUCUGGUUUUUUAAGAAAUAAAUUUAAUUUUUCUAUUUUUUAUUGUAGUUUUAUUUUUAAUUAUCAAUUUAAAUAUGGUAUGUCUUGAGGGAUAAGCUUCAAUUCAGAUUAUUAUAAAUUAUUCUUUUUAAUAAGAUUGUAGGAUUAAUAAUUUUCUUCUAUUUAUGUAUGUUAUUAUUUACUUAUUAUUUUUAUUAUUUUUAUUUAUUUUAAUUUUUUUAUUAAAAUAUAGAGUUUAAUUUGUUUUUCUAGUAAUAAUGAUGUAAUUAGUAUAUUAUUAAUGUAUUUUUAAAUUUUAUUUUAAAUUAUUUAUAAGGAAUUCGGCAUAUUUAUAUUUCGCCUGUUUAAUAAAAACAUGUCCUUUUGAUUUUAAUUUAAGGUCUAAUCUGCUCAAUGAUUAUUUAAAUAGCCGCGAUAUUUUGAUCGUGCGAAGGUAGCAUAAUCAUUAGCUUAUUAAUUGUAAGCUGGAAUGAAUGAUUGGACGAGAAUAUAACUGUCUCCUAAAUAAGUGUAGAAAUUUCUAUUUAAGUAAAAAAGCUUAAAUUUUAUUAAAAGACGAGAAGACCCUAUAGAGUUUUAUAUAUAAUUUAUAAUUGAACUUAUGGUUUAUAAAUUUUUUUAUUUUGUUUAUAUUUAGUUGGGGUGACGGAAGAAUUUAAUAAACUUUUUUUAUUUUUGAAUAGUGAUUGUUAGAUUUAUGACUUAUUUUUAGUUAAAAGAUUAAAUUACCUUAGGGAUAACAGCGUUAUUUUUUUUAAGAGUUCAUAUCGAAAAAAAAGAUUGCGACCUCGAUGUUGGAUUAAAAUUAAAUUGUGGUGUAGAAGUUACAAUUUUUAGUCUGUUCGACUAUUAAAAUUUUACAUGAUCUGAGUUUAGACCGGCGUGAGCCAGGUCAGUUUCUAUCUUUAAUUUAAUAAGGUAUUUUAGUACGAAAGGACCAAAUACUUAAUUGAUUAUUUUUAAUUUGAAUAUUAUU